GCAACCUACCAAACGACCACUAAGCACUUAAAAGAAAGUAGAGAAGUUACUGUCAUCUUCUCCCAUCUCAAUCCCUACUUUCAACUUUUGUUGUCAAGGAAUAACUAAGGUAAAUUUUAUAUUCUUUUAUCUAUUGCUUGCUUUUCCCCUUAUGUUUUGAACAAAGUUUCUUUUUGGUUUGGUGAGAUGCGUACAAUUGUACUCGAUUUGCUUGCGGAUCUAUCGGAAAAUCAAAUUAGCAAUCGAUUUGCUUGCGAAUCUACCCGAAAAUCAAAGUUGAGCUUGGCGAGGAGUGAUGAAAGCAUCAAAAUCGACGAGACAUGAAUUAUUAUUUUUCUCUUGUAAAAGUAUAUUAAUAUAUUUGAAUAGAAUGAUGUUUCACUAUUUUGAAUGAUAUCGUUGAACCUUUAUUAA